rnacentral:rRNA from 1 species
UACGUAGGGUGCAAGCGUUGUCCGGAAUUAUUGGGCGUAAAGAGCUCGUAGGCGGUUCGUCGCGUCGGCUGUGAAAACCCGGAGCUCAACUCCGGGCCUGCAGUCGAUACGGGCGGACUUGAGUGUUGCAGGGGAGACUGGAAUUCCUGGUGUAGCGGUGAAAUGCGCAGAUAUCAGGAAGAACACCAAUGGCGAAAGCAGCUCUCUGGGACGGUACUGACGCUGAGACGCGAAAGCGUGGGGAGCGAACAGG